GUCUGGGUGGUGUAGUUGGUUAUCACGCUAAUCUCACACACUAGAGGUCCCCGGUUCGAAUCCGCGCUCAGACA
rnacentral:tRNA from 1 species